CCUACGUGCGGCAGCAGUGAGGAAUAUUGGUCAAUGGGCUUACGCCUGAACCAGCCAAGUCGCGUGAGGGAAGACUGCCCUAUGGGUUGUAAACCUCUUUUGUCAGGGAGCAACGCCGGCUACGUGUAGCCGGACUGAGAGUACCUGAAGAAAAAGCAUCGGCUAACUCCGUGCCAGCAGCCGCGGUAAUACGGAGGAUGCGAGCGUUAUCCGGAUUUAUUGGGUUUAAAGGGUGCGUAGGCGGAAUGCCAAGUCAGCGGUAAAAUCGCGGGGCUCAACCUCGCUCCGCCGUUGAAACUGGCGUUCUUGAGUGGGCGAGAAGUAUGCGGAAGGCGGGGUGUAGCGGUGAAAUGCAUAGAUAUCACGCAGAACUCCGAUUGCGAAGGCAGCAUACCGGCGCCCAACUGACGCUGAAGCACGAAAGCGUGGGUAUCGAACAGGAUUAGAUACCCCUGUAGUC
rnacentral:rRNA from 1 species